AGAUGCAGAGUUGGGUGUCUCUCUGCAAAAAUCUUACGUUGUUGCUGGCUGUCCUAGAAAUCUAAUGGAAGAGCAGUGUCUGCUGGAAUGGGUGCAAUACUGAGAAUCUCCACUUGGGCUCAACCUGUAUAUUUAAGUAAAAGUGUCUACAAGAGAAGCAGGGGGCAGUCAAGAGAAUGCACAAUGAACUUCAGUCACUUCAACUGUAUUGGCACUUCUACUGCACAGCUGGGUGCAUUUGGUGUAUUUUCAGCACACAAUAUAAUUGUUUAAUCUUCAA